rnacentral:rRNA from 1 species
AGACUCCUACGGGAAGNGCAGCAGNUGGGGAAUNAUUGCACAAUGGGCGAAAGCCUGAUGCAGCGACGCCGCGUGAGGGAUGACGGCCUUCGGGUUGUAAACCUCUUUCAGCAGGGAAGAAGCGAAAGUGACGGUACCUGCAGAAGAAGCGCCGGCUAACUACGUGCCAGCAGCCGCGGUAAUACGUAGGGCGCAAGCGUUGUCCGGAAUUAUUGGGCGUAAAGAGCUCGUAGGCGGCUUGUCRCGUCGGUUGUGAAAGCCCGGGGCUUAACCCCGGGUCUGCAGUCGAUACGGGCAGGCUAGAGUUCGGUAGGGGAGAUCGGAAUUCCUGGUGUAGCGGUGAAAUGCGCAGAUAUCAGGAGGAACACCGGUGGCGAAGGCGGAUCUCUGGGCCGAUACUGACGCUGAGGAGCGAAAGCGUGGGGAGCGAACAGGAUUAGAUACCCUGGUAGUCCACGCCGUAAACGGUGGGCACUAGGUGUGGGCAACAUUCCACGUUGUCCGUGCCGCAGCUAACGCAUUAAGUGCCCCGCCUGGGGAGUACGGCCGCAAGGCUAAAACUCAAAGGAAUUGACGGGGGCCCGCACAAGCGGCGGAGCAUGUGGCUUAAUUCGACGCAACGCGAAGAACCUUACCAAGGCUUGACAUACACCGGAAAGCAUUAGAGAUAGUGCCCCCCUUGUGGUCGGUGUACAGGUGGUGCAUGGCUGUCGUCAGCUCGUGUCRUGAGAUGUUGGGUUAAGUCCCGCAACGAGCGCAACCCUUGUCCCGUGUUGCCAGCAAGCCCUUCGGGGUGUUGGGGACUCACGGGAGACCGCCGGGGUCAACUCGGAGGAAGGUGGGGACKACGUCAAGUCAUCAUGCCCCUUAUGUCUUGGGCUGCARASUUGCUACAAUGGCCGGUACAAUGAGCUGCGAUNACUNCGANGUGGAGCGAAUMUCAAAAAACCGGUCUCAUUCGAAUGGGG